AAGUCCUGUGUGAAGUUUACUGAUGGAGUCAGAGGGAGAAAGAUUGUACAGCCCAGCGGUUCACUCAGCCACUCCUGCAAAGACUCUGGAUCACCUUCACUGAUUGCAGCAUAAGCUUGGUCCAGCAGGCUCCAGGACCAGAGUUGGCGUGGGCAGCAACAGGGAGAAAUUCAAGAGGAAGUUCUUA